rnacentral:rRNA from 1 species
GAGUUGUAAUUUGUAGAGGAUGCUUUUGGUGAGGUGCCGCCCGAGUUCCCUGGAACGGGACGCCACAGAGGGUGAGAGCCCCGUCUGGCUGGCCGCCGAGCCUCUGUAAAGCUCCUUCGACGAGUCGAGUAGUUUGGGAAUGCUGCUCAAAAUGGGAGGUAUAUGUCUUCUAAAGCUAAAUAUUGGCCAGAGACCGAUAGCGCACAAGUAGAGUGAUCGAAAGAUGAAAAGCACCUUGAAAAGAGGGUUAAAUAGUACGUGAAAUUGUUGAAAGGGAAACGCUUUGGACCAGACUUGGGCGCGGGGGAUCAUCCGGGGGUCUCUCCGGGGCACUUCCCCCCGUCUAGGCCAGCAUCAGUUCGUCGGGGGGGAAAAA